UUUAAAUGUACAGUUGCAUUGUGGGAUAUUUACCGGCUGGAGGCUAAUGUUCGCGGGCUAAAGAACAGGGCCAGCAAUGACUUUCACCGGGCUUACUCUUUCAGGGAUUCGAUUUUCUAAAGAUUGUCUACGGCGGGGAAAGUGACCUGGAGUCCAUGAAAGCAGAAAUAUCUGCCUGAAGAUUACAAAGAGAGGUACUGUGACGCCUUGGACACCAGUCACAUCCAACUGCACUGCCAGGAAAGCUUGCUGAUAGAGGGAGAACAACAGAGCUUUGGCAGCAUGGUGUUCAAGGAUUAUGUUUGCAUCAGUUUUCUAUUCUUUUGUUCUUCAUUGCUAAGUGCUCUUAGCUCUCCAAGAAUCAGCUAUUCUUUUCCAGAAUGUAUUCCUGUCCAGUGUUUUACAUUGUACCAAAUUCAUCAGCGGUCUGCUGUAUAUAAUUUGAAUCUCUAUCUUGAGAUAAUGACAGUUGUUCUCUAUUGAUAAUAAAAUAAUUGCUUGGGGAAAAUGCUCAGAGACGGAUUACACUCUAAAAAAAAUAGCUUUUUGUCUUCUAUUCAGUUUAAUCCUUCAGAAUCACUUAUGUACUGUGCUGAUUCAUCAUCUUUUGCUCCCCACAGAGCUUUCUAUGACUCUGCAGCAGGGGUGCAUUCAAGUGCAACUUGCAAAUAAACAUAAACUACACAUAGUUUUAUGCACUAUGUGGAGUGGGGGGAAAAAUA